AUUGCAGCUAUAGCCAUAGUCCAUCUCCUUUUCCUUCAUGAAACAGGAUCUAACAAUCCCCUAGGAAUCCCCUCAGACUGAUAUAAUAUUACCUUUC